rnacentral:rRNA from 1 species
UUUAAAAAGUUAAUAUAAAAUACCAGGGGACUAUGAAUAAUAAUUUAAAACUCAAAGGACUUGGCGGUAUUUUAGACUAAUCAGGGGAGCUUGUCUUAUAAUCGAUGAUCCACGAUGGACCUAGCCUUAAAAUAAGAAGUAUGUAUAUCGUUGUUUGCAGUUAACUUUUUAGAAUUUAGAAGUUAGUAAUUAAAAAGAUUUAUUUUUAAAUUCAGAUCAAGGUGCAGCUUAUGUUAAGGAAGGGAUGAGCUACAAUUAAUAUUUAUAAUUACGGAAUUUAUGAUUAAAAUGUUUAUGAAGGAGGACUUGAAAGUAAAUAAAUAAAUAGACAGAUUUGUUGAAUAUAGCUCUGAAAUGUGU